GUGUUUGUACAACCCUCAGCUACAAAGGAGCUGCGGGAUGGGGUGGGGAACAAUAUGGAUGAGCCUCGCCAAUGAGGACAGGAAGCCAGGCACGGAUGGGCACAGACUGUGACGACCCCAUUUACAUCAAGCGCAACAACAGGUCGCAGUAGUGGUCAGCCCCAGAGUCACUGCCCGGGAGGGGCAUAGAUGAGCCAUCUGACGGCUGCCAAAUUUCUGAACCUUAUCUGGGUGGUGGUCCCACGGACGUUUCCACUUGUAAAAUCUCAGAUGGCAAACUAGGAUCUGUGCAUUUUUCUCUAGGGAAACAUCAUCUUCGGAAAAUGCUGUCGAUGCUGGUGAUGAGACUCGGGGCCCAGGCCCGUUUCCCAGAUGUGAAGAUCGAACGCCUGAGCAAUGCCCAGGCAAUCGGAGAAAGCAAGUUUUCUUUAAAGGACAGAACAGAGAUAGACUUCUCUGCAGAGAAGGGGCCCCAGAGCUGGUGACUGAGGAAGUGGUGCUGUCCUGCCCCUUUCAUACCUUUUAGAUUUUCUUUGUUCUCAUGCUCUCUUCUCUCAGCUUCCUGCAUACGUGAUUAGUGGCCAAAAAGAGCGAACCUGAGCGGAAAAAGAAGGGAAUGGCCAGGAGGCAUUCAUUCCUUAACAGCCCCUGAGGAAUGAUUCCUGGAGGUUUGUCGCCUUGGCAACAGGUGGAGGAGAGGGAAGUGUCCUCAAGGUAUUAAUGUUUCAUUUCCUCCUGAAUCAGUCACCUUCUUUCUGACCCAGUCAUUCAUUACCUACAUUUACACUGACUGCCUUUUGUCCCCUGGCUUCCACUGUCAGAAAGAAAAAAUCUCCCAGAGCUCACAAGACAGAGGCACAACCAAGAGCCCAGGAAACAAACACCUUCGCAAAACCUGUGCUUUGGAGGGAACAGGCCUGGUGUUCCUGGAAGUGAAGCAUACAGGCCCUGGUGGAGGCAGCAGCCAUUAGGCUUUUCCAGUUCUACCUGGAAACUUUCACAGCCAAACCUAAACCACAGGUGGACCAUGGCCCAGACCUGCACGUUUCUGCAGAUGCACAGAACGGUGUCCAGAUCUGCCCACCUCUGCCAGUGGCAGGGUGCCUCUGCAGGAAUCCUUGCGUC